rnacentral:rRNA from 1 species
GACGAACGCUGGCGGCGUGCUUAACACAUGCAAGUCGAACGGAGCACCUUGAUUGAGGUUUCGGCCAAAUGAUAGGAAUGCUUAGUGGCGGACUGGUGAGUAACGCGUGAGGAACCUGCCUUUCAGAGGGGGACAACAGUUGGAAACGACUGCUAAUACCGCAUGAUGCGUAACUGGGACAUCCCGGAUACGCCAAAGAUUUUAUCGCUGAAAGAUGGCCUCGCGUCUGAUUAGAUAGUUGGCGGGGUAACGGCCCACCAAGUCGACGAUCAGUAGCCGGACUGAGAGGUUGACCGGCCACAUUGGGACUGAGAUACGGCCCAGACUCCUACGGGAGGCAGCAGUGGGGAAUAUUGGGCAAUGGGCGCAAGCCUGACCCAGCAACGCCGCGUGAAGGAAGAAGGCUUUCGGGUUGUAAACUUCUUUUAAGUGGGAAGAGCAGAAGACGGUACCACUUGAAUAAGCCACGGCUAACUACGUG